GGCAGGUUGCCCGAGUGGCCAAAGGGAGCGGACUGUAAAUCCGCCGGCUCAGCCUUCGUAGGUUCGAACCCUACACCUGCCA
rnacentral:tRNA from 1 species